AAAGAUUUAGUUAAUAAAUAACGUCAAUUUGUCAAAUUGAAAUAAAUAUGGUAUAUUAAUUUUUU
rnacentral:tRNA from 1 species